rnacentral:rRNA from 1 species
UACGUAGGGUGCGAGCGUUGUCCGGAAUUACUGGGCGUAAAGAGCUUGUAGGUGGUUUGUCGCGUUGUCCGUGAAAACUCACAACUCAAUUGUGGGCGUGCGGGCGAUACGGGCAGACUGGAGUACUGCAGGGGAGACUGGAAUUCCUGGUGCAGCGGUGGAAUGCGCAGACAUCAGGAGGAACACCGGUGGCGAAGGCGGGUCUCUGGGCAGUAACUGACGCUGAGGAGCGAAAGCGUGGGGAGCGAACAGG